UUAAGAUGCUGAGUAUAGCUUAGUUCUCCUGAGAUGUAGGCAAUGAAAAGAACUACAAGUUAUGAGGAACAGGAAAAAGCAGUGUAGCAAGCUUAUCCAAAAGUUUUUUUUAGUCAAGCCUAUUCCAUUCCUGUGGUUCUCUAGCCAAGAAUUCUGGACCUGUUUCAACAUACUUUUCCAUUCAUCUGUCUAUUGAGCUUAUAAGGGAAGUAGUUCAUUUUAAUGUUCAGACUUACCUUUUUUUUUUUUUUUUUUUAAAUAAAAUGUUAUUGUUUUAUUUUUUUAUGUAUACUGAAGUAAAAUGCAAAUUAUGAAUAUUCUAAUUUUUAAAUGUUUCAUUUGAAUUUUAUCUUUUGUAUUAGUGCUUUCAUUGGUGAAUAUCAGUGUUAACAUAAUUUAUUAUUUAUUUAGGACAUUUGUGCUUUUCACUAAGCUUUUUCAUCAUGGAUAUCCUUGGGCUCAACAUUAGAUAACAAUUUGAAUAUUCUUUGUCCUCUUGGCCUUUUAUUAAGAUGUUGAAUAGAUCUUAUUCAAGAAAUGGAGUGCCACACAGAUUUGUAAACCAUCUCUAAGUAGUAAAUGUGAAGAGCAGAAAUAGUAGACUUAAAACAAGGCAACACAUCUUAACAAGAUGUCAGAUGAUGACAGUUUUCUCUUUGGCAUUUUUAUGAAUUAAAGCUUUGAAGGCCAAACCUUAGAUUUGGUUAGCAUAACCCUGAACUGCAUAUCAACAAAUGUUUGAUGGUCUGUUUUGGUUCAUCUCUCUCACUAUGAGGAUGGCUACAGAGGUAUCAGCUAUCAGCAGUGCACCUCCGUGAUGUACAAGUCUUCAUUGCCAAACAGUGACCCACUUUACUGCAAUUCAAUGUCAGGAGUCUGGAUAUGUCAGCCCAAGGGGAUCACGCUUAUGUCCAAGGUUACUUAGGUAAUUCUCUAAGAACAAUAGGUUAGCAGCUCAAUCAUUGUGCACUGAUAUAUCCACUGAUGCCUUGAGUCUCCACUGAUGCCUUGAGUCUCCACUGAUGCCUUGAGUCUCCACUGAUGCCUUGAGUCUCCACUGAUGCCUUGAUUCUCCACUGAUGCCUUGAUUCUUCUCUGAUGCCUUGAUUCUCCACUGAUGCCUUGAUUCUCCACUGAUGCCUUGGUUCUCCACUGAUGCCUUGAUUCUCCACUGUCGCCUUAAUUGCCAUAAAUUUAUCUACUGAUCCACAUAUCAAGGAUAGCAUUGGACCUGUUUGGUUAAAAACACAAAUUAAUGAACUCACAUUAGGCUGCAUUACUUCAUAGAAAUUUAAAACUAAAUGGUCAAUUAAACAUGAGGUCAAGGAAAAAGGAUGAACAUUUCAAGGCUGCAAGAGGAACAUUAUACAUCUCUCUCACUGUGAAAAGAUUCUAUCGAUCUACAAAUGGUCAACAUGUUUUAUCUAAAGUUCCUUUGCCAUUUCUUCAAAUGGAGCCAUAGUCAGAAUAAGAUUCUUUUUGUUCUUCCUGAGGUUCAAAUGUAUCAGUUGUUUUUGUUGACAGAUAUCAAGUUUAGUUGCCUACCAGCAGUUUGGUGCUACAAGUCAAUGACAGUCAGACUAAAUUAAAUAAAGCCAUGUCUAUUUCUACAUGAUUUUGUUGCUACUAACCUGGUGUUACUAACAACUAACUUGCAAUUGGGAGAGUCAUUUCAGUUCUCAUUUAUUUUGUGCGACAAGUGACAAGAACAAAUUCAAGCGAGAGAGGUCACUACACUAAGACUUUGUCUUCUCAUAAGAAUGGAUGGCUGCCUGGUCAUGUGGUAUGUGUGCUGGACUAACGAGAGAGGUCACUGCGCUAAGACUUUGUCUUCUCAUAAGAAUGGAUGGCUGCCUGGUCAUGUCGUAUGUGCGCUGGACUUUGUUUGGUCACCUUGAUGCUCAUAUCUUGCCUGAUGCCAUUUAUUCUGCUGGACAUUUGGUCAAGGAAGUAGAUUCUCUUCAGCUCUCAAGAAACAUUCAAAACAUGUCAAGCAUUUGACAAGAAUAUCAAGCAAGUGCAGUGUACAUAUCAACAUGAUGAAGAUGUAGACCAGCAUGAAGAUGUAGACCAGCAUGAUGAAGAGGUAGACCAACAUGAUGAAGAUGUAGACCAGCAUGAUGAAGAUGUAGACCAGCAUGAUGAAGAGGUAGACCAACAUGAUGAAGAGGUAGACCAGCAUGAUGAAGAGGUAGACCAACAUGAUGAUGUAGACCAGCAUGGUGAAGAGGUAGACCAGCAUGAUGAAGAGGUAGACCAACAUGAAGAGGUAGACCAGCAUGAUGAAGAGGUAGACCAACAUGAUGAUUUAGACCAGCAUGGUGAAGAGGUAGACCUGCAUGAUGAAGAUGUAGACCAACAUGAAGAGGUAGACCAGCAUGAUGAAGAUGUAGACCAACAUGAUGAAGAUGUAGACCAGCAUGAUGAAGAUGUAGACCAACAUGAUGAAGAUGUAGACAACAUGAAGAGGUAGACCAGCAUGAUGAAGAUGUAGACCAACAUGAUGAAGAUGUAGACCAACAUGAAGAUGAAAUGUAAACCAAAAAAUGGGUCAAGAGAUGUAUGGAAUAAAAUGUGAACAUCUUGAGAAGUAAAACAAUUCCUAGAGGCGAAGACACAGACACACUGGAUAUAUUAGAGAUUUUCCUUUUCUACCAUCAUUUAGAGACUUCCUUGUGCUCUAAGGGAACCUGUCAUUAUCUUUUGAUUGCUAAUUGGCAUUGAUGUUUUUACAUUCCUAUUGCAUCUGAAAGAAAUGCUACUUCAAAACUAGACCUUCUCUAGACAAUCUUAGUGACCAAGCUACAAUACAGGACUCAGUAGAAAACAAUAAAGAAUCCUCCCAACCUCAGGUUGAGUACCCAUGCUCACCUACUAGAAUGGCAGGUGCUAGCAGGUAUACACCAUGACAAAAUAGCCAAGCUGCAACGUAUUCAGAACAACGCUGCACGUAUAAUCCUAAGAAAAACAAGACAAGAUUCUGCUACUACGCUCCUGCGCAAGCUUCAUUGGGUUCCUGUGAAAGUGAGAAUAGACUACAAGGUGGCGAC